UCAUCCAGCCAGGAAGUAGACAAUUAUUCCUUAGCUGCCACUGUGGAAGGAUUCCAGUGCAAAAGUAUUGAAUUUGAAGUCUCCCUUAGCAGCUGCUGAGAAUUAUAGUAAAUUCUUCCCUAAUUUACCACCCAAGGAGAAAAGAUUUUUGUCUAAAGUUGGAUGGUACAGGAAUAAAUGGCUCCUAAGUAGCAACUUGUUGGCAAGAAAGGAGGGGAAAAAAACCCUUGGGACUGUUGACACUUGGACCAACAUAUUAGGGCACUUGGACCUACAUAAUCCCAGCUACCAAAAGAAGCUAGGUUGGACUUCUGGAUGGGAGAUUGGACUCAGGAGUAGUGUGAGACCUUAGAAUGGAGCAAAAUCCACAAGAGAAGUGUUGAAGGUAUUCUUCUCUUCUUAUGUUGGAACAAUUGGCUCAUUCCAGCAACCAGGAUGGCAGGAAUUCUCCCAUCUGUAAGGAAAAGGUCACUGAAUCCUUCCCCAAGAAGUCUGUCAAUUGGAGAAUCUCUACCUAAAUCAUAAUCACUGUCUCCUGCUUCACUAUCACCACGGCCACUAUCUUUCAAGCUAAAUUUAUCCAUAUCUUGUAGGGCGUAUCUGUAAACAGAAAAAUAUGGUGAUGGAAUUAUAUUUUGUUAUCGCAUGUUCAGUAUGUUGUUCUCAGAUAAAAAUGUUUUGAUCAGAAUCUAA